rnacentral:rRNA from 1 species
AGCCUGAUGCAGCCAUGCCGCGUGUGUGAAGAAGGCCUUCGGGUUGUAAAGCACUUUCAGUCAGGAGGAAAGGUUAGUAGUUAAUACCUGCUAGCUGUGACGUUACUGACAGAAGAAGCACCGGCUAACUCCGUGCCAGCAGCCGCGGUAAUACGGAGGGUGCGAGCGUUAAUCGGAAUUACUGGGCGUAAAGCGUACGCAGGCGGUUUGUUAAGCGAGAUGUGAAAGCCCCGGGCUCAACCUGGGAACUGCAUUUCGAACUGGCAAACUAGAGUGUGAUAGAGGGUGGUAGAAUUUCAGGUGUAGCGGUGAAAUGCGUAGAGAUCUGAAGGAAUACCGAUGGCGAAGGCAGCCACCUGGGUCAACACUGACGCUCAUGUACGAAAGCGUGGGGAGCAAACAGGAUUAGAUACCCUGGUAGUCCACGCCGUAAACGAUGUCUACUAGAAGCUCGGAGCCUCGGCUCUGUUUUUCAAAGCUAACGCAUUAAGUAGACCGCCUGGGGAGUACGGCCGCAAGGUUAAAACU